rnacentral:rRNA from 1 species
GAUUAACGCUAGCGGCAGGCCUAAUACAUGCAAGUCGAACGGGAUUAUUGGUAGCAAUACUGAUAUGAGAGUGGCGCACGGGUGCGUAACGCGUAUGCAACCUACCUUUAACUGGGGGAUAGCCUUCCGAAAGGAAGAUUAAUACCGCAUAACACAGUGAAGUGGCAUCACUUUAUUGUCAAAACUCCGGUGGUUAAAGAUGGGCAUGCGUAAUAUUAGCUAGUUGGUGAGGUAAUGGCUCACCAAGGCUACGAUAUUUAGGGGGUCUGAGAGGAUGAUCCCCACACUGGUACUGAGACACGGACCAGACUCC